GCGCCGCGCCCCCUUCCCCGAAGCCCAGGCCCCCACCCGCCGCGCUCCGUCUCCUCCGCGCAUGCGCGCGCCCCCUCCCGCCCGCGUCUGCGCAGCGAGGGUCGCUACCCUGCGCGAAGUGCGCCGUUCGGGUUCGUUGGGCUCCCACCUUGCGGCACGACGACCGUCUUCCACCCGCUCCUCUUCAGAGUGCCCAACUUUUUUGAUGGAUUUAUGAAAUAUUGUUAGAGUCGAAGCCGCGAUUCAAGGCUGGUGUCAGAGGCCUUUUACGAAAAUGGUGGAGAGUUACUGCAGAACAACGGAUUUGGGGCGAACCAUGAUAGGCAUUAUGUAGCUGUGGCUGUUGCUACCCUAUGCAGUACCUUUGUGGAAUUAAAAAGGCACCAGACCCGCAGGGAGAUGCAACGGACAGAUACUGCCACUCCAGGGCACGUCUGUCGUGACAUCCUCUUCAGAGACUCGAGUGCGUUGGGCAUCGGAAGCAGCUGCUCCUCUGUGGCCUCAGGAGACACAUUUCCACAGCUCAGCAGGAGCCAAGAACUGGGCAGAGGGUCUUCCUGGAGACAGCCAGAGCAGGAAAAGAGAAAGUGGUGGGUGCUCCAUUUCCUGGUAGGAUUUGCCUGUGCGUA